CACUGCUGGUUUCUCUUCAGAAUGAAUACAUUUUUUGCCUUUUACUAAAGAUUUCUGUGGAGAGGAACAACCAUGAGUUUCAUGUAAUUUUUUGAUGCCUGGCUGCUGCUGGGCU